GCGCGAACAAAACAAGUUGCAGGUCGCCGCCGCCGGAGGGGGCGGGCGGGUCACUCACCCUCAUCCUGUUCAGCGGGCUCGGCUCGUCCGGCCGCGGGGAUAGGGAGGACCAGAGGACCACCAGCACCAGGAAGCUGCCCACCACCAGCAAACUGCUGUUUGGAGCAUGUAUCGUGUGCUAGCCAUUGUUUUAAAUGAUGGGAAACAGCAGUAAACUAGAGGAGCAGAAAUCCUUGUGGUCAUGGAGUCAGACAAUAAACAAGAUAUUGCAAUAUGUUCUAAUGGUCUGGUAAUCAAAACCGGAAUAAUGAUGAUGCCACAAUAGACCAAUGGAUUGAAAUAGAAGCCCCCAAAGCAUGUCGUCUCGGGAGAGGACACUCAGGCAGCUCUGGAGGGGCCCCUGUGACAAGGAACUGAGACCCACAGCCAGCGAGAACCCAGGCCUGCCAACGAACAGGGGAUAUGGGUUUGAGCCCUGUUCCAGGAAGAUCCCCCAUGCCACGGAGCAACUGAGCCUGUGCGCCACAACUACUGAGCCUGUGCUCUAGGGCCUCUGUGCCACAACUACUGAGCCCACGUGCCACAACUACUGAAGCCUGCACGUCUAGCAUCCCUGCUCGGCAACAAGAGAAGCCACCUCAGUGAGAAGCCCGUGCACCGCAACGAAGAGUAGCCCAGCUCGCCACAACUAGAGAAAGCCCGUGCGCAGCAGUGGAGACCCAACACAGCCAAAAAUAAACAUA